rnacentral:lncRNA from 1 species
UAUCAAAUUGCUCGCCUUGACUCAUCUUCCACAAUCUAAAAUCUUCUUCCUCUGAUUUUUUAACCAAAUUCUCAAACCGAAUCGAAAUACCUAUGAACCCUAAUUCACGAAUUCAAAAAAUUAAACAUUGUGAUGAAGGAACAAAGCCUACAGUGGUUAGGACUUUGAUUCCUCAGGUUCGAGGCUACAUGACUGCAACUUGAAUCAAGGAAAAAUGGAAGAAGAACGAAGAAAUACUACCUACGAGGAUGAGAAGUUCCCCGCGUCUUGUAGGGAUUGAUGAAGAUGAGGAUGAACAAAGAACAAGCUCCACUCAGGUAACUCUGAAUCUAUUGCUCCUUAUUCUCUCUGAUUCUUUAUUUUUCUUCUCAAUCUCUUUAGCCUAUAGGUUCUGACUAUCCUUUUUGUGGUUGUUGUUCUGUGAUGUGUAUGAGAGAUACAGAGAGUUGAGAAUUUAAUGAGAGUUGAGAAUUGAUGAGAGUGAGAGAAUUUGUGAUGAGCGAUUGGUGAUGAUUGAAAAAUGAUUAUGUGUAAAAAAAUGAUUGAAUGAUGAUUCUGCAGUGACCGGAAAUGAUUCCAUCCUUAAAUGAUGAUGAUGAUGUUGAUUAGGGCAAUGUUAACUAUGUUAGUUUUUCAGUUGAAGUUAGUUGUGAUGGAUAACUCUUCUAGCUUCUAUUAACCUUGUUUUUUAAUUCAGUUAUGAUGUUAAGUCUAAGUUAGUGUUAGUGCACUUAGUUAGUUAGAAAGAGUUAAAUUUUGUUUGAACUGUCUGUUAUGAUAUCAAUUAGUGAGGAGAGCAUUGUUAAGUUGAGUUGUUCAGUUAGCAGGUUAGUGAAAUGAAAUGAAGUUGGACUAUCAUAGCUUGAAUGGAUGGUGUGAUAUUGGUUUAGUUAGUUAUGGAUAAAUCUGUGAUGCUAUUUUGGUCUAGAGUUAGGUGUUAGUGAUUAAGAUUCGAGCUAGUUAGUAGUUAGUUGUAGUUUUAUUAACAAGUUAGCUUGUUGUUGAAAUUAGAGUUAUGUUGACAGUAGUAAAGUUAGGAUGGAUAAUUGUGAUGUUAGUUUAGCAAGCCAACUGUUACUUGUUAAAAUGACCGUCAAAAUGAAGAAUGUUUAGAAUUAUGAAUUUCCAAUGGAGGAUGUUAAAAUAGCAAGCAAGUGUAACUGUUAUGACUUUCCCAAAGGUUUGAAUUUG